rnacentral:rRNA from 1 species
GAUGAACGCUGGCGGCGUGCUUAACACAUGCAAGUCGAACGGAAAGGCCCAAGCUUGCUUGGGUACUCGAGUGGCGAACGGGUGAGUAACACGUGGGUGAUCUGCCCUGCACUUCGGGAUAAGCCUGGGAAACUGGGUCUAAUACCGGAUAGGACCACAUUUUGGAUGGUGUGGUGGAAAGUUUUUCGGUGUGGGAUGAGCUCGCGGCCUAUCAGCUUGUUGGUGGGGUAAUGGCCUACCAAGGCGUCGACGGGUAGCCGGCCUGAGAGGGUGUACGGCCACAUUGGGACUGAGAUACGGCCCAGACUCCUACGGGAGGAAGCAGUGGGGAAUAUUGCACAAUGGGCGCAAGCCUGAUGCAGCGACGCCGCGUGCGGGAUGACGGCCUUCGGGUUGUAAACUCCUUUCGCUAGGGACGAAGCGUUAUGUGACGGUACCUGGAGAAGAAGCACCGGCUAACUACGUG